CCUGAUAGAAUCAUAGAAUCAUAGGGUUAGAAGGGACCACAAGGGUCAUCUAGUCUAGCCCCUGCUAAGAUGAAGGAUUUGUUGUAUCUCAACCAUCCAAGACAGAUGGGUAUCCAGCCUCCUUUUGAAAACCUCCAGUGAAGGAGUUUCCAUAACCUCC